UAUAUACAUGUGAAUGUAUGUGUAUGUACAUACACUGUAGAAAGAUGAAACAAACUGAACGAAAUACAUACACAACAGUAAUCAAAUCAAAUAAAAUAGGUAGUCAUAAUAGUUAGGACAAGUAGACUUGUUUUAGCCCUUAGCCUACAUAUUUGAAGCAAUAAUGAAAUACAAUUCAA